UGUCCGGUGGCCUUGUGGUUAUAGCAUUCGCCUCAGAUGUGGGAGGUCAUGAGUUCAAUCCCCAGCCGAGUCA